UACGAAGGGGGCUAGCGUUGUUCGGAAUUACUGGGCGUAAAGGGCGCGUAGGCGGUGUGUCAAGUCAGGCGUGAAAGCCCCGGGCUCAACCUGGGAACCGCGCUUGAGACUGGCACGCUCGAGUUCGGGAGAGGAUGGUGGAAUUCCCAGUGUAGAGGUGAAAUUCGUAGAUAUUGGGAGGAACACCAGUGGCGAAGGCGGCUACCUGGACCGGUUCUGACGCUGAGGCGCGAAAGCGUGGGUAGCAAACAGG
rnacentral:rRNA from 1 species